rnacentral:lncRNA from 1 species
AUUUAGUUUAGAAACAUUGAUUAUAAAAAUUCAUUCAUCUAGAUAAAGCAGAACUAUGAAAUUAGAAUACUUAGUAAAUAUUGAAUUACAAUCUCUGUGGGUUUGACACUCUUAACUAAUUUACUAUAUUACAAAACUUGACAUUGUAUACUUGCGGUAUAAAUCACUUUAUAGAAAACACGUGGCAAAAGUCUAGCAUGAAUUAAAUCAAAAGACACCCUCUCUGGAACACACUUCAUAGGUAUAACAACACACACCCCUCUUGGGGUUAUGUUUGGUCGAGUGUCAUGUUGGAAUUAUCCAUUACUCAAAGUAAGCCAUUUCAUUUUCUUUAUAUCUCAGGUAUUCUAGCCUACAAAUAAACAGUCGAUCUAAGGCUUCAAAGAUUGAGCCUAACUCUUCUUAUAGGAUUGUUAUGGUCUAUAAUACAAUUUCUAAUGCUAAGAACCACCAGAAGAGGCAGUAGCAGAGCAUACUCAUGUAACUACUCGAUUAGUUGAUUAGCAUGACUUAUAUAAGACUAAUAAUAGAAUUCUAAAUGCUAGUGAGAAAACAGAGAGAUUUAGAAACUCGUGUAGGGAUGGUAGUGGUGUGGGUUUUGGGCGGGGUAGUGGCUUGCCCCAUUUGUUUCUCAAUUUGUUUGUUUUUUAAUAUUUAUAUUUUAAAAAAUUUCUUUUUCAAUAACAUUAAAUAAUCCUCUUUGUUGGGGAAAAGAUGGGAUCGAAUAAAUGGAGCACAGGCCCUAAGACUUCUUCCUAAGGAUACUAAGCUGAAGGU